CAGUAGCCGCGGGAAUACGGGGGGGGCAAGUGUUAUUCGGAAUGACUGGGCGUAAAGGGCACGUAGGCGGUGAAAAGGGUGGAAAGUGAAAGUCGCCAAAACACUGGCGGGGUGCUUUCUUGACCAUUUCACUUGAGUGAGAUAGGGGAGAGUGGAAUUUCGUGUGGAGGGAUCAAAUCCUAAGAUAUACGAAGGAACGCCAACCGCGAAGGCAGCUCUCUGGGUCCCCACUGACGCUGGGGUGCGAAAGCAUGGGGAGCAAACAGGAUCAGAUACCCCGGUAGUCCCUGUCUCUUAUACA
rnacentral:rRNA from 1 species